rnacentral:misc_RNA from 1 species
GAUGAAGAACGUAGCGAAAUGCGAUACGUAAUGUGAAUUGCAGAAUUCAGUGAAUCAUCGAAUCUUUGAACGCACAUUGCGCUCUCUGGUAUUCCGGAGAGCAUGCUUGUUUGAGUAUCAGUAAACACCUCAACUCCUUUAUCGUAGUUGGACUUGAGCUAUCCCAACAGGACUUUUUGUUCCUGGCGGGAGGCUUGAAAUGCAGGUGCAGCUGGACUUUCUUCUGAGCUAUAAGCAUAUUUAUUUAAUCCCUUAACACGGAUUAUUACUUUUUUGCUGCAGCUAACAUAAAGGUUGAAUUUCCAUUGAGCUGACUGAUGCAGGAAUUUGGCAAGGAAUUUUUUUAAUGACUUGUUAAACUCGAUCUCAAAUCAAGUAAGACUACCCGCUGAACUUAAGCAUAUCAAUAAGCGGAGGA